GCAUAGCUCAAUCAGUAGAACAUGAAACCCUUAAUCUCAGGGUCUUGGGUUCGAGCCCCACAUUGGGCA